ACGUAAUAACCAUAGGUUCCUUUGGUCCACUUUAUUAAAGUUCCACUUAGGAAAUGCAGUGUCUGAAACAGCUCCAAGGCUGUUAUAAAGGGACUUUAUCCGUACUAUUUACCCUAAGUACUUAUAAGGCAAAUUCUGUGUUUGAAUGGUCAAAAUACAAGAGGAAGAAUUUCUCCCCUUAAAGGUUUGGCUAGUAAUCAGUGCACUACGUUUCCCAUAGUUCCUGGGACAGCUUCUCUUGCAUUUCCUAGAUGGCUGUAUGCCCUUUGCUCUGGCCUUGAGCAUCGGUGGGAAUUAACAGCAGCACCAUACCCGUCAGCAUUGUUUAAGUCAAAGAUCGUAUUCUGUUCUUUAUCGUUCCCUUAAUCUGGCUUCUGCUCCUUCACUCGCUGGCUUCUGGAGCCCAAAUAAUCUGAGAACGGUUACUGCUGCUACUCGGCAAAGCAGGAAGCUGUGCCUACCGAAGCACUCUGGGAGUUGUAGUUCUGGUUCCCUUACAGGCACCGGCUUGUCUUGCUCUGCCUCCUCCCACACCAGAAGUGAGCAUAAAGUGGUGUUUAGCGCGUAGGCAGGAUGAAAGCUGUGAGGGUUAGCAACAGAUCUGCGUAUGAUCUUGCUGAUCACCAGCCACCACCACCGCGGAGCCAAUGAAUUUUCUGUCGCGAGCCCAGCCGCCCGGCUGGCAGGCUAACGGACUUGCCGCUGAGAGUUCUGGGAAAUGUAGUUAGGCACGAGCAAGCUACCGUUAGUUGCCGGACUGUGGCGGGAACCGUGGCUCCGCAGGUGUUCGCGGCUCGAAUCAGCCUGAGGAUUUUCAGCCGGAGCUCUAAAGCUCUCCCAUUCCUCAUGGUCUACAGUUGAGGAAGCUUCUGGGACGUGCAGCACCUCUACAAUGGAAACGAGAUCUUCAUCAUCAGCUUCAGACGUGUUCUUGGAACCCUGGACCACAUUUGAAUCUUCGAUGUUUUUAAGAGUUCACCUCACCUUGGCAGUGGUCUGCAAGUUAAUCCUGUGAAGCGACCUCACACAGCCCCUCUGGGGAAGUCUUGCGGCGCCCAUGCCAAAGAAAGAACACCUCAGCAUGUUCAUCCACCUUCUGUUGGCCUCGGGAACUCCUGGAGGGAAAGCUAGCUCCAAGCAGGAAAGAAGAGGGAAGAACUCUGAAGGACACAGAUCAUCCCAGCCUACAGUCCAGACAAUAUUUGAAGGAGAGCCACGCCUUGCCCUUCGCAUUCUCCGCGGAGCCUUCACUGCCAAAACACUGAGGAAAGGCCUUGGUAGCUGUGUGUCACUCUGGACUCUGUGGUACAAGGAGAUGGCUCUGACCGUUUGCCGCUGAGGAUGAAGUUCUCCUUUUCCAGAUGGUUUUCACACAGGGUGGUAGGGGAUUUCAUAUUGCUUCAUCUUCUACCCUAGCCCUGACCCUCACCACCAGGCAGCCCAGCCAUAUUAGCUGAGAAAUCCAUACAGGGGCAGGAGCCCCUGUUCCCUCCCCUCUGCUAAAAGAUGUCAUUAAUUAGUUAGAGUUGUGCUAGGACAUAGGAGUGACCUUGGGAAGGGGCACUUGGUGAGUAAGCAAGAAUGGGCACCGGUGUGUCUACUCACCACGCCCAGGUUGCAGGGGAAGAUGGCUCACUAACCACUCACAGGGUGACCUUGGAGGUCUGCAGGCUCAGCUCCCAUGGCGCCUAGACCCAUUCCUGUCCAGGAAAGGGUAACUUCCAAACUUAGCAGGCAGACAGUUUAUGGAGAAGUACACUGAACUGUCUCCCGAGGGGCCCCAGGCGAAGGUCACAUCCCUUCCUUUCCACACAUGGCUGAGUUCUGGGUUCCAGCAGGACAGAACUCACCUUCCAUGUCGGCUACGACAUUUUCUUAUCAGGUUUAAAAGGAGGGGUAAUGGCAAAUGUCUCUAAACCUCAAGUUCCCAUAAGGCCACAGCCCUCCUUCCGACUGUCUUUUAAAGCAAGUACUCUAAGGGAUGGAGAUGUAGCUCAAUUGGUAAGGUGCUUGCCUAGCAUGCAGAGAGCCCUCCGCUCCCUUUUGCGAUGCUUCAGAAACCAGGUGUGGCUGCGCGUUCUUGUGAUCCCAGGACUUGGGAACCUGUGGGCAGGCCGCCUCACAAUCUGUUUUCUCCAGUGCCCCAUACUCUAGCUCGGGAAUGUGUUGCUAGGAUGCAGUCUGUACUGAGUCUCUAGACAGUGUCUCCAGUUGUCCCCGUAAUGACUGUCCCAACCCGCACUGAACGAGGAAGGGCACCGACGAGGAGAGGACACAGGGGGAGAAUGCACAGGCCCUUGAAGGAACAAAGGCCUGGGCUGAAAGGUAGUUCUACAUCCAUCCAAAAGAGCGCACGGGGCUUCUAGGAGCCUACUCAAGACCUUAGUCUAGAACGCUGCUGAUCUUGGCAGCGCACACCUGUAAUCCCAGCACUUAGGAGACAGAGGCGAGGCAGGGCACUCAAGAGUUCAAAGUCAUCCUCGGCUACAAAGUGAGUUUGAGGAUAGCCUGGGCAACACACUUGAAAUCCUUUCCCAAAACAAACAAACAAAAAAAAUGUGCAGGCCCCAUGCUGCAUUUCUCAUUGC
ensembl:lncRNA